rnacentral:rRNA from 1 species
GCAGUCGAGGGGCAUCUCUUCCUUCGGGAAGAAGCGACCGGCGAACGGGUGCGUAACACGUAUGCAACCUACCCUAUACAGGGGGAUAGCCCGGAGAAAUCCGGAUUAAUACCCCAUAUUACAUUUUACUGCAUGGUAGAGUGUUGAAAGCUGAGGCGGUAUAGGAUGGGCAUGCGUCCCAUUAGCUAGUUGGUGAGGUAAAGGCUCACCAAGGCGACGAUGGGUAGGGGGCCUGAGAGGGUGAUCCCCCACACUGGUACUGAGACACGGACCAGACUCCUACGGGAGGCAGCAGUAAGGAAUAUUGGUCAAUGGGCGCAAGCCUGAACCAGCCAUGCCGCGUGCAGGAAGACGGCCCUACGGGUUGUAAACUGCUUUUAUACGGGAAGAACUCCCCCUACGUGUAGGGGGCUGACGGUACCGUAAGAAUAAGGAUCGGCUAACUCCGUGCCAGCAGCCGCGGUAAUACGGAGGAUCCAAGCGUUAUCCGGAUUCAUUGGGUUUAAAGGGUGCGUAGGCGGUGCGUUAAGUCAGGGGUGAAAUUUGGCAGCUCAACUGUCAAACUGCCUUUGAUACUGGCGCGCUUGAAUGUGAUUGAGGUAGGCGGAAUGCGGCAUGUAGCGGUGAAAUGCGUAGAUAUGCCGCAGA